AUGAUUAAGAUAGACCUUGCUAAAGCUUUUGAUCGUCUCGAAUGGAAUUUCAUUGUCGCAGCACUCUCACGUAAGGGCCUGCAUGGUCAUUUCAUCAAUCUUAUCCAUGCUUGUAUUUCAUUGCCCACCUUCUCUGUUGUCAUUAAUGGUCAGCCUUUUGCGAGGUUUCGUAGCGGCAGAGGUAUACGACAAGGUUGUCCCCUCUCUCCCUAUCUUUUUGUCCUUGCUAUUAGUGAAUUGUCGCUAGCGUUGUAGGAUGCUAUGUCCAAUAGCUUACUAGAAGGGGUCAUCCUAGGACCAGAUUGCCCUCCCAUUCACUCGCUGCUUUUUGCGGAUGAUCUCCUCAUCUGUGAUAAAGCAUCAAUCCAGGAUGCCGUGACAAUGAAGCAAAUCCUUGACUCCUUUUGUUCUGCUUCAGCCGAAUUGGAAUAA
rnacentral:rRNA from 1 species